GACGAACGCUGGCGGCAGGCCUAACACAUGCAAGUCGAGCGAGCGGCGGACGGGUGAGUAAUGUAUGGGGACUGCCCGAUAGAGGGGGAUAACUACUGGAAACGGUGGCUAAUACCGCAUACUAUCGGAUAACCCAUAUGGGAUUAGCUAGUAGGUGGGGUAAAGGCUCACCUAGGCGACGAUCUCUAGCUGGUCUGAGAGGAUGAUAAGACAAACGGGGGCGGUGACACGCCCCGGACUCCCAGGGAGGCAGGAGGGGGGAAAAGUGGACAAGGGGCGAAAUGCGGAUACAGCCUUGCCGCGUGUAUGAAGAAGGCCGUAGGGUUGUAAAGUACUUUGAGCGGGAGGACGUUACCCGCAGAAGAAGCACCGGCUAACUCCGUGCCAGCCGCCGCGGUAAUAC
rnacentral:rRNA from 1 species